rnacentral:rRNA from 1 species
CCUGACUUACUUGGAUAACCGUGGUAAUUCUAGAGCUAAUACGUGACUAAAAACCUCGACUUCGGAAGGGGUGUAUUUAUUAGAUAAAAAACCAAUGCCCUCCGGGGCUCCCUGGUGAUUCAUAAUAACUAAACGAAUCGCAUGGCCUUGCGCCGGCGAUGGUUCAUUCAAAUUUCUGCCCUAUCAACUUUCGAUGGUAGGAUAGUGGCCUACCAUGGUGGCAACGGGUAACGGGGAAUUAGGGUUCUAUUCCGGAGAGGGAGCCUGAGAAACGGCUACCACAUCCAAGGAAGGCAGCAGGCGCGCAAAUUACCCAAUCCCGACACGGGGAGGUAGUGACAAUAAAUACUGAUGUGGAGCUCUUUAGGGUUUCACAAUUGGAAUGAGAAAAAUCUAAACCACUUAAACGAGGAACAAUUGGAGGGCAAGUCUGGUGCCAGCAGCCGCGGUAAUUCCAGCUCCAAUAGCGUAUAUUAAAGUUGUUGCAGUUAAAAAGCUCGUAGUUGAACCUUGGGCCUGGCCGGCCGGUCCGCCUCACCGCGUGCACUGGUUCGGCCGGGCCUUUCCUCCUGGGGAACCGCAUGCCCUUCACUGGGUGUGCCGGGGAAUCAGGACUUUUACUUUGAAAAAAUUAGAGUGUUCAAAGCAGGCAUUUGCUCGAAUACAUUAGCAUGGAAUAAUAGAAURGGACGUUGUGGUUCUAUUUUGUUGGUUUCUAGGACCCGCCGUAAUGAUUAAUAGGGACG